rnacentral:rRNA from 1 species
AUUGAACGCUGGCGGCAGGCCUAACACAUGCAAGUCGGACGGUAGCACAGAGGAGCUUGCUCCUUGGGUGACGAGUGGCGGACGGGUGAGUAAUGUCUGGGGAUCUGCCCGAUAGAGGGGGAUAACCACUGGAAACGGUGGCUAAUACCGCAUAACGUCGCAAGACCAAAGAGGGGGACCUUCGGGCCUCUCACUAUCGGAUGAACCCAGAUGGGAUUAGCUAGUAGGCGGGGUAAUGGCCCACCUAGGCGACGAUCCCUAGCUGGUCUGAGAGGAUGACCAGCCACACUGGAAUUGAGCAACGGUCCAGACUCCUACGGGAGGCAGCAGUGGGGAAUAUUGCACAAUGGGCGCAAGCCUGAUGCAGCCAUGCCGCGUGUAUGAAGAAGGCCUUCGGGUUGUAAAGUACUUUCAGCGGGGAGGAAGGCGAUGCGGUUAAUAACCGCGUCGAUUGACGUUACCCGCAGAAGAAGCACCGGCUAACUCCGUGCCAGCCGCCGCCGUAA